AUAUUUGGAAAAAUAAAAGCCCAAACCGUUUCUUAUCCCUCCAGCCAGUGGCGCUUUCGCCGGCAAAACUCACAGCUCUAUUCAGUGCGUCCGUACGUUGAAAUCUCUCUCUCUCUCUCUCAAAAACUCUGUCUCCUCUCCAGAAGUGCGAUUUAAGACUGGAGCCUUAAAAAUGGACUUAUACUAUGUGAAGUGGACGAAUGACAUGAAAAUGGCUGGCUAGUGGAGAGGGGCCAAAGGUCAAGAAAACAAGAGGUUGUAAACACACAGCUUUGUGGAGGCAUUGUAGAAAUGCAGUUACCUGCUCGCCCAAACUUCACAAAGAAAGGGUUUCAGCUAUGGGAUCAUUCUAUUGGAGAUGUUGACAGGAAAAAGGCCGAUAGAUGAAAUUUUCACCAAUGGACAAACUCUUCAUGAGUUCUAUGAGUCAGCAUUGCCGAAAAGAGUGAUUGAGAUUGUGGAUGCACAUGUUAGAAGAACCUAACGAAGCUGAAAAUGAUGCCGAGAAAGAGAGGGUCAGCCAAACCAAAAUAAGAGAAUGCUUGUUUCCCUUGUGAGGAUGGGGUUGCAUGUUCUGCCGAAUUGCCUGGCGGAAGAAUGGACACCUAGGUUGUGAUAGGAUUAACUGCCAUCAUGGAAAUUCUCAUAGAUAGUAUCCAGUUUUUAAGUACUCGUAAUUUUAUACAUUCGUCGUUGUAUACGCAUAAUGUCUUGCAAAAUAAUUGAUCACUACGUCCAAGCAAA